rnacentral:rRNA from 2 species
AGACCCGAAACCCGGUGAUCUAGCCAUGGGCAGGUUGAAGGUUGGGUAACACUAACUGGAGGACCGAACCGACUAAUGUUGAAAAAUUAGCGGAUGACUUGUGGCUGGGGGUGAAAGGCCAAUCAAACCGGGAGAUAGCUGGUUCUCCCCGAAAGCUAUUUAGGUAGCGCCUCGUGAAUUCAUCUCCGGGGGUAGAGCACUGUUUCGGCAAGGGGGUCAUCCCGACUUACCAACCCGAUGCAAACUGCGAAUACCGGAGAAUGUUAUCACGGGAGACACACGGCGGGUGCUAACGUCCGUCGUGAAGAGGGAAACAACCCAGACCGCCAGCUAAGGUCCCAAAGUCAUGGUUAAGUGGGAAACGAUGUGGGAAGGCCCAGACAGCCAGGAUGUUGGCUUAGAAGCAGCCAUCAUUUAAAGAAAGCGUAAUAGCUCACUGGUCGAGUCGGCCUGCGCGGAAGAUGUAACGGGGCUAAACCAUGCACCGAAGCUGCGGCAGCGACACUGUGUGUUGUUGGGUAGGGGAGCGUUCUGUAAGCCUGUGAA